rnacentral:rRNA from 1 species
UACUUACUUGGAUAACCGUGGUAAUUCUAGAGCUAAUACAUGCUAAAAACCUCGACUUCGGAAGGGGUGUAUUUAUUAGAUAAAAAACCAAUGCCCUUUGGGGCUCCUUGGUGAUUCAUAAUAACUCAACGAAUCGCAUGGCCUUGCGCCGGCGAUGGUUCAUUCAAAUUUCUGCCCUAUCAACUUUCGAUGGUAGAAUAGUGGUCUACCAUGGUGGCAACGGGUAACGGGGAAUUAGGGUUCUAUUCCGGAGAGGGAGCCUGAGAAACGGCUACCACAUCCAAGGAAGGCAGCAGGCGCGCAAAUUACCCAAUCCCGACACGGGGAGGUAGUGACAAUACAUACUGAUGUGGAGCUCUUUUGGGUUUCACAAUUGGAAUGAGUACAAUUUAAAUCCCUUAACGAGGAACAAUUGGAGGGCAAGUCUGGUGCCAGCAGCCGCGGUAAUUCCAGCUCCAAUAGCGUAUAUUAAAGUUGUUGCAGUUAAAAAGCUCGUAGUUGAACCUUGGGCCUGGCCGGCCGGUCCGCCUCACCGCGUGCACUGGUUCGGCCGGGCCUUUCCUUCUGGGGAGCCGCAUGCCCUUCACUGGGUGUGCCGGGGAACCAGGACUUUUACUUUGAAAAAAUUAGAGUGUUCAAAGCAGGCCUAUGCUCGAAUACAUUAGCAUGGAAUAAUAGAAUAGGACGUUGCGGUUCUAUUUUGUUGGUUUCUAGGACCGCCGUAAUGAUUAAUAGGGAUAGUCGGGGGCAUCAGUAUUCAAUUGUCAGAGGUGAAAUUCUUGGAUUUAUUGAAGACUAACUACUGCGAAAGCAUUUGCCAAGGAUGUUUUCAUUAAUCAGUGAACGAAAGUUAGGGGAUCGAAGACGAUCAGAUACCGUCGUAGUCUUAACCAUAAACUAUGCCGACUAGGGAUCGGACGGUGUUACAUUUUGACCCGUUCGGCACCUUACGAGAAAUCAAAGUCUUUGGGUUCUGGGGGGAGUAUGGUCGCAAGGCUGAAACUUAAAGAAAUUGACGGAAAGGCACCACCAGGCGUGGAACCUGCGGCUUAAUUUGACUCAACACGGGGAAACUCACCAGGUCCAGACACAGUAAGGAUUGACAGAUUGAGAGCUCUUUCUUGAUUUUGUGGUUGGUGGUGCAUGGCCGUUCUUAGUUGGUGGAGUGAUUUGUCUGCUUAAUUGCGAUAACGAACGAGACCUUAACCUGCUAAAUAGCCAGGCCAGCUUUGGCUGGUCGCCGGCUUCUUAGAGGGACUAUCGGCUCAAGCCGAUGGAAGUUUGAGGCAAUAACAGGUCACCCGUCGGGUGGUGCACUUCUAACCCACAGGCCUGUUAUUAUAUAAGGAAAGUCCGGAGGGGUCCUUGUUGAGUAAGUCAUAUUACUCCGCCCCAUUGUUGUCUUUCUCAAAUCAACCCCCUUGUUGCGGCUAUUCUGUAGCUGCUUCUCGGGGGUUACAUCACUGGUACAGUGAAGGUCGUGUCUGUUAUUCACGAUCAAUACUGUGGCGAAAAGUGUUGCCUGUUCUGGCUGGCAACCAUCGUCUCAACGCGCGGCAAGUGGUGGCUUUGCUUCGGCAAAGUUUAGGUACGUGCUCCUAUAAUACGGGGGGAAACCCUUUCCUACAGCUUAAGUUUGAGGGGAAUUAAAGCGUAGGAGGCUUUUGUUGGCCAUGUUUGGUGUACUCUGUGGCCCCUAAUAAUCAACGGCUUUCACCCGUUGAUUACCCAACCCACGGUUUAUACUAAUAUUUUGAUUUCGAAUAGUGGGGCACUUUAUAUAUAACUAUGGCAAAGCGUAAACGUGAUUCCGAGAGCCUUCCCGGCGCGUAUUUUCCAAUCUUCGAUGGCUGCCUCCCCCAAAAUUCUUCUUUUUCUUCUACUUGGUCUGUGCCGUCUCUGGAAUCAAAUGGUUUAGACAGCGAUUCUUCGACCCGCCCCGCUUCAAGCUUGGACUCUGGGGCGCCGCAGCUGGCUGGCAUAAAUGCAAGUUAACUUCGGCGUGAUGCGUCAGUGGGUAGAAGUAAACUGAUCAAACACACGUAGGUAGCUUCUGGUUCCGAAGCCCUUCUCUCCCGGCGGUUCCUCCAUUGGUCCGAGCUGGUUCCGUUAUCGGCUUGGCAUUUAGCAGUCUCACGACUGCUAAAUGGGUUCAUUCAGAAAAGUGGUCAGGGUACCCGCCGGCCAAGUUAAUUUGGCGGGCUGUAUCUCGCACAAAAAAAGCCCAACCGCGAAAGCAACGGCUAUGUGCAGGUUACGCCCGUGGUAGAGAUUCGGAAGCCAGGUCGCAAGGGUGAUGUUUCGGCUCGUGAAAGGGUUUUGGGAGCCCAUCAGGUUGUUGUUUUGCUUCGCAAAACGUAAGUUCAAGCAGCACCUGGUGGGCUUUAGUUAAGCAUAGAAAUUUGGCGCAGCGGCACCGAUACCUUUAAUAUGCUUCAUCAAAAAUUUCACGCCAGCCAUCUCUGUCACCAGCCUACCUGUAUCAACUCGGAUCACAUCCGAGUUGAGCCUAAGGCAGCCAAUGAGGAGAGGAAAGUUUGCAAUCGGAAGGUGAACAAGCAUUCAAAUAAGCCCCUUAUAUCCUAGUGUCUAACUGGGAACAGAUAGUCGUGAAAACGAUUAUCGCGGGGGCCAUAUAUUUUUUGCACCCCGUUGACCCCUGCCCGCAUGAUCCUCUCUGUAUUUUUAUGAUGGAGGUGCGCGCAGCGGUCUCGGGUGACCCGCCCCCGGGGGAUUCUUUCCCGAGGGUGGGCUCGUAAAUAUCCGUACUGUACUUUUUAGCUAUAGUUGUAUCAUGGAAACAUCAUACCCUUUUCGCAUGUCCACUAUUUGUGAAACCUGGCCGAUGUCUCUAAAAAAGUCCCCCUCGUUCACCACCCUGCACUAUGUAGGGGUAAUAUCAAACUGUUUGGCCAGCAAAAGCCGGUAUUCGAGCUGUGAUGCCCUUAGAUGUUCUGGGCCGCACGCGCGUUACACUGACAGAGCCAACGAGUAAAUCACCUUGGCCGAAAGGUCUGGGUAAUCUUGUUAAACUCUGUCGUGCUGGGGAUAGAGCAUUGCAAUUAUUGCUCUUCAACGAGGAAUGCCUAGUAAGCGCAAGUCAUCAGCUUGCGUUGACUACGUCCCUGCCCUUUGUACACACCGCCCGUCGCUACUACCGAUUGAAUGGCUCAGAGAGGCUUCCGGACUGGCCCAGAGAGGUCGGCAACGACCACCCCAGGCCGGAAAGUCGU